UCCCUGAUGGCUCAGACGGUAAGAGUCUGCCUGCAAUGCAGGAGACCCAGGUUCGAUCCCUGAGUUGGGAA
rnacentral:tRNA from 1 species